CUACGCACUCCUACGGGAGGCAGCAGUGGGGAAUAUUGCACAAUGGGCGCAAGCCUGAUGCAGCCAUGCCGCGUGUAUGAAGAAGGCCUUCGGGUUGUAAAGUACUUUCAGCAGUGAGGAAGGUGGGUAUGUUAAUAGCAUACUCAUUUGACGUUAGCUGCAGAAGAAGCACCGGCUAACUCCGUGCCAGCAGCCGCGGUAAUACGGAGGGUGCGAGCGUUAAUCGGAAUUACUGGGCGUAAAGCGCAUGCAGGUGGUUUGUUAAGUCAGAUGUGAAAGCCCGGGGCUCAACCUCGGAAUUGCAUUUGAAAACUGGCAAACUAGAGUACUGUAGAGGGGGUAGAAUUUCAGGUGUAGCGGUGAAAUGCGUAGAGAUCUGAAGGAAUACCGGUGGCGAAGGCGGCCCCCUGGACAGAUACUGACACUCAGAUGCGAAAGCGUGGGGAGCAAACAGGAUUAGAUACCCUGGUAG
rnacentral:rRNA from 1 species